CAAACAUCAUGCUGGGACAAGAUCCCACGAGAUCAGCCAGCCCUGGGACUUGGCGGGGAGCAUGCGUGAGCAAGCGUGCGGGGCACGCUGCCUCCUCUCCCACGGCUGGUCUCAGGCACAGCUGUGACGUGGAUGUGCUUGGUCUUUAGUGUCUCUUCUGGGCUGCCUGCUCUGCUAUGGGGCUAACAGCUCCCACUGGCCCCAGGCACAUCUGCUCCUCCUCUGCCCCAGCUUCUCUCGUCCUGGCUGCAUCCGGCUGGCCUCUUCUUUUCCCUGGGCCAAUAUUUCCAUCUGCUUCAUCCCCAGGGGCCUUCCCAUCUGCUUCCCCUCCCUGGGAUCCAGGAGUGGAAUAAGCUUCUUGUUAGACGACAGCGCCUCAGACCUCAGGUUUUGGCAUCUGCUGCCAGUGGUGUUUGGUUCUACCCCAGGAGCCUGCUCCAAGCAAUCCUUCCAAACAAACAUAAUGCGCUCCCGGAGAGGACUUCUGAGAAAUUCACCGCCUCCAUCUCUUUAAUUAAGAACAGUUUAGCUGACCUGGGAAAGAGACAUUUUAUUGUGAAUUAAUGAAUUAGUCAAAUCACCAUCUCCUAUUGACAGGGGAAUUUAAAAGAACAGAAAUGAGUAACCUUGCAAAUAUUUGAAAUUAAGCACUCUAAUGUCAUCAGAGCAAAGAUAAUAAUAAUAAAAGUUGAAUUAACAUGCAAAACCCAUCAAAGUGUAUUUUACAUCAGUACUUCUCAAAUGUCAGUGUGCACAUGAAUACCCUGGAAAUCUUACUAAAGGCAAUAGGUCCUGAC
rnacentral:lncRNA from 1 species